CAACACACAAACUCACACACACAACACCCAAAACACACACUAUAUUCAACGUUAAUACCAUUUAAGCUUUUGACCUCCGAUUUGAGCACCGAGACGAGCGCCGAUCAUCUUUUCGAUCACGUAUCUAAGUAGGUCCUUUUGGGAAGUAACGACUUGAGGGAGAGAGUGACGUUACUCAUUGAUACAGAGACACAACGAGGUUGAGCUGAUGUGAUGAUGGUGCUGCAAUGAGCGGAGUCUCCAGGGUUGUUAAUAAAUAGUUAACCUGUCUAGAAUAUGUCUUCAUACAUAUGUCUAGCUACUUUCCGCUGCAAGAUGUUGUUGAUGUUAUAGUAUGUUAUGUCAUACUUUGAGUCUUAAGAGAAUGGUUUCAUAUGAUGUAUAACUUGAUUAAUGAUAUUAAUUAAGUUUUAUGUUGUCUUUCAUAGACUGUUCAAAAGAGUAUUAAUGAGUAAAUACGACGAUUUUUCUUAAGUUGAGUAA